rnacentral:rRNA from 1 species
UGCAAGUCGAGGGGCAUCAUGUCGAUAGCUUGCUAUUGUUGAUGGCGACCGGCGCACGGGUGAGUAACGCCUAUCCAACCUUCCCCUUACUAGAGGAUAGCCCGGCGAAAGUCGGAUUAAUACUCUAUGUUGUUCGAUGCGGACAUCUAAGUUGAACCAAAGAUUUAUCGGUAAGGGAUGGGGAUGCGCUCCAUUAGGUUGUAGGUAGGGUAAUGGCCUACCUAGCCUAUGAUGGAUAGGGGUUCUGAGAGGAAGGUCCCCCACAUUGGAACUGCGACACGGUCCAAACUCCUACGGGAGGCAGCAGUGAGGAAUAUUGGUCAAUGGCCGGAAGGCUGAACCAGCCAAGUAGCGUGCAGGAUGACUGCCUUAUGGGUUGUAAACGGCUUUUUUACUGGGAUAAUUAUGAUCACGUGUGAUUAUGUACAUGUACCGUAAGAAUAAGGAUCGGCUAACUGCGUCCCAGCAG